UCUUACAGAUGAGCAAAGAAAGUAGUUUCUUUGUAAGGUAUCUACUCUUGGUGAAGAUGCUGUGAA
rnacentral:pre_miRNA from 2 species